GUAACGUAGGGGCGGUAGCGUUUGUCCGGAAUCAUUGGGCGUAAAGAGCGCGUAGGCGGCCCUGUAAGUCCGCUGUGAAAGUCAAGGGCUCAACCCUUGAAUGCCGGUGGAUACUGCAGGGCUAGAGUCCGGAAGAGGCGAGUGGAAUUCCUGGUGUAGCGGUGAAAUGCGCAGAUAUCAGGAGGAACACCGAUGGCGAAGGCAGGUCUCUGGGCCAUAACUGACGCUGAGAAGCGAAAGCAUGGGGGAGCGAACAGG
rnacentral:rRNA from 1 species